ACCAGUGCUCGCCACGUGUCCCACUCGCCGCUACCGAGGGUUGACUGUUCGCAAAUUUUCAUGGUGCGACGUUUGGGAUCACAUCCUGGUGGGAGUUCCGAAAAGACUCUUCGGAUCGCCCUAAUCGAGAAAAGGGCUCCGGCAUGCGCACAUUAAAUGCCGACAUAUCCGAGGAUGGUCGCACGCAGACGUCAGGGGGAGAACUUCCGCUA
rnacentral:lncRNA from 1 species